GUUUACAGAUUAAUUCUGGUUUACAAAACUAAACCAGAAAUUAAAAAAUAAAAUCAGACCACUACAUUUUUUCUAACUCGGUUUACACUUAACCAGACCUAACCUAAACCUAAAGAAAAAACUCAUGCCGCCUCCUCCAUAGCCUUGUCCCUCUUCCAGCAGCCAUGAACCUUGCUUCCUCCAGCCACCAUGAACCUUGGCUCCUCCACCUAUCUUUACCAAAAACAAAACAAAAUCAGAUUCGUAAUAGAGCAACAGAGAGAAGGAGAUACACAGAUACAAAGAGAGAGAGAGAGAGAGAGAGACGUCGACCGUGGUGGUGGUGAGACAAG
rnacentral:lncRNA from 1 species